rnacentral:rRNA from 1 species
GUCCCCUUCGGGGGACAAGUAGAGUGGCGUCCGGGUGAGUAACACGUAGGUAAUCUACCUUCGGGUGGGGAAUAACGCAGGGAAACUUGCGCUAAUACCGCAUAAUGCAGCGGCACCACAUGGUGACAGUUGUUAAAGCGGGGGAUUUUCGAACCUCGCGCCUGAAGAGGAGCCUGCGGCAGAUUAGCUAGUUGGUAGGGUAACGGCUUACCAAGGCGACGAUCUGUAGCCGGCCUGAGAGGGCGGUCGGCCACACUGACACUGACAUACGGGUCAGACUCCUACGGGAGGCAGCAGUCGGGAAUUUUGGGCAAUGGGCGAAAGCCUGACCCAGCAACGCCGCGUGAAGGAUGAAAUCCCUCGGGAUGUAAACUUCGCAAGAAUGGGAAGAAUUAGCGAGUAUUAAUACUGCUCGUGAUGACGGUACCAUUUGUAAGCUCCGGCUAACUCCGUGCCAGCAGCCGCGGUAAUACGGGGGGAGCAAGCGUUGUUCGGAUUUACUGGGCGUAAAGGGCGCGUAGGCGGUCAGCACAAGUCAGUUGUGAAAUCUCCGGGCUUAACUCGGAAAGGUCAACUGAUACUGUGCGACUAGAGUGCAGAAGGGGCAACUGGAAUUCUCGGUGUAGCGGUGAAAUGCGUAGAUAUCGAGAGGAACACCUGCGGCGAAGGCGGGUUGCUGGGCUGACACUGACGCUGAUGCGCGAAAGCCAGGGGAGCGAACGGGAUUAGAUACCCCGGUAGUCCUGGCCUUAAACGAUGGAUGCUUGGUGUCUGGAGUUUUAUAGUCUCCGGGUGCCGUAGCUAACGCGUUAAGCAU